CGUCUCUACUGCACCACGAACGAUCUCGUUGGACGAAAUGAUGCCGAGGUCCGGUAUAUUCUACUGUAUUAGGCCCGACUCCCCCACCGACGUGCAGCGCGCCUUUUGUGGGGAGAUACGUACACACCCAUCGUGACUAAUGCAGCGGCCUCCGGAAACAUAAGUGGAUUAAUUUCACAUCGGUUUCCAAGCGUAAGACACGCAUGUACAAUGUAUUUCUAUAAAACAAUGCAAGAACAUUCAAUUAUCGAAGAGUAUAGUCAAUGUGGAUUCGAUUGCGUGUUACAGGAUGAAGAAUUGAAGAAAUAUGGUUCAAAGGUGAGCCGUUUAUUGACUCGUACAUCGUUCUGCGUUUUACACUUAUAAAAUUACCGCAUAAUACUAACGACUGGGUACGAAAGAUUAGAGUAACAGGGAAUUCAUAGUUGUCCUUUAUCUGUUUGUUCAAUAGCCCGAAUCCUGUCUAGGGAGCAUCCCAGUAACCUAAAUCCAAUGGAACUAAAAAGGAACCUGCCCAGCUCGGUGGUUCAACUUAACUGCAACUUAACUGGAUAUAAUGAGGCACGUAACGUUAAUUCACUUCACUUUAAAC